rnacentral:rRNA from 1 species
GCUUAGAGAGGGGUCAAUGUCCUAUCAGCUAGUUGGUAGGGUAAUGGCCUACCAAGGCUAAGACGGGUAGCCGGCCUGAGAGGGUGGUCGGCCACACUGGGACUGAGACACUGCCCAGACCCCUACGGGAGGCUGCAGUCGGGAAUCUUUCGCAAUGCCCGAAAGGGUGACGAAGCGACGCCGCGUGUGGGAAGAAGGCCUUCGGGUUGUAAACCACUGUCGGGAGUUAAGAAAUGCAAGGGUGUUAAUAGCAUCCUUGCUUGACUAAGGCUCCGGAGGAAGCCACGGCUAACUCUGUGCCAGCAGCCGCGGUAAUACAGAGGCGGCAAGCGUUGUUCGGAAUUAUUGGGCGUAAAGAGCACGUAGGCGGCUUUGUAAGUCAGUUGUGAAAGCCUUCUGCUCAACGGAAGAACAGCACCUGAUACUGCAAGGCUAGAGUGCGGAAGGG